GAACGCUAGCUACAGGCUUAACACAUGCAAGUCGAGGGGCAGCAUGGUCUUAGCUUGCUAAGGCCGAUGGCGACCGGCGCACGGGUGAGUAACACGUAUCCAACCUGCCGUCUACUCUUGGACAGCCUUCUGAAAGGAAGAUUAAUACAAGAUGGCAUCAUGAUUCCGCAUGGUUUCAUUAUUAAAGGAUUCCGGUAAAGGAUGGGGAUGCGUUCCAUUAGGUUGUUGGUGAGGUAACGGCUCACCAAGCCUUCGAUGGAUAGGGGUUCUGAGAGGAAGGUCCCCCACAUUGGAACUGAGACACGGUCCAAACUCCUACGGGAGGCAGCAGUGAGGAAUAUUGGUCAAUGGACGCGAGUCUGAACCAGCCAAGUAGCGUGAAGGAUGACUGCCCUAUGGGUUGUAAACUUCUUUUAUAUGGGAAUAAAGUGGUCCACGUGUGGAUUUUUGUAUGUACCAUAUGAAUAAGGAUCGGCUAACUCCGUG
rnacentral:rRNA from 1 species